rnacentral:rRNA from 1 species
UGCAAGUCGAACGGUAACAUGAGAGCUUGCUCUUGAUGACGAGUGGCGCACGGGUGAGUAACGCGUAUGCAAUCUACCUAUAACUGAGGAAUAGCCCAGAGAAAUUUGGAUUAAUACCUCAUAAUAAUAUUAUAUGGCAUCAUUUAAUAUUUAAAACUCCGGUGGUUAUAGAUGAGCAUGCGUUCUAUUAGUUAGUUGGUGAGGUAAGAGCUCACCAAGACUUCGAUAGAUAGGGGGCCUGAAAGGGUGAUCCCCCACACUGGUACUGAGACACGGACCAGACUCCUACGGGAGGCAGCAGUGAGGAAUAUUGCACAAUGGAGGAAACUCUGAUGCAGCCAUGCCGCGUGCAGGACGAAUGCCCUAUGGGUUGUAAACUGCUUUUUUACAAGAAGAAACCUUGGUACGUGUACCAACUUGACGGUAUUGUAAGAAUAAGCACCGGCUAACUCCGUGCCAGCAGCCGCGGUAAUACGGAGGGUGCAAGCGUUAUCCGGAUUUAUUAGGUUUAAAGGGUUCGCAGGCGGAAUUUUAAGUCAGUGGUGAAAGCCUAUAGCUCAACUAUAGAACUGCCACUGAUACUGAUAUUCUUGAGUAUAGAUGAAGUGGGGCGGAAUAUGUCAUGUAGCGGUGAAAUGCAUAGAUUAUGACAUGGAACCACCAAUUGCGAAGGCAGCUCCACUAAACUAUUACUGACGCUCAUGAACGAAAGCAUGGGGAGCGAACAGGAUUAGAUACCCUGGUAGUCCAUGCUGUAACUAUGAUCACUAGAUGUUGGCGAUAUACUGUCAGUGUUUAAGAGAAAUCGUUAAGUGAUCCACCUGGGGAGUACGUUCCGCAAGAAUGAAACU